AUCCGUGGCCUAAUGGAUAAGGCAUCGGUUUCUUAAACCGGGGAUUGUGGGUUCGUGUCUCGCCAGGGGUA
rnacentral:tRNA from 1 species